rnacentral:tRNA from 1 species
UCCCGAGUAGCUCAGUAGUAGAGCGGACGUCUGUUAAUCGACUGGUUGUAGGUUUGAAUCCUACUUGGGAG